rnacentral:rRNA from 1 species
ACGGAAGGCAGCAGUGGGGAAUAUUGCGCAAUGGGGGAAACCCUGACGCAGCAACGCCGCGUGAAGGAUGAAGGUUUUCGGAUUGUAAACUUCUUUGACGAGGGACGAAUUAUGACGGUACCUCGAAAACAAGCUCCGGCUAACUACGUGCCAGCAGCCGCGGUAAUACGUAGGGAGCGAGCGUUGUCCGGAUUUACUGGGUGUAAAGGGCGAGUAGGCGGGACUUCAAGUCAGAUGUGAAAACUAUGGGCUUAACCCAUAGCCUGCAUUUGAAACUGUAGUUCUUGAGUGAUGGAGAGGCAGGCGGAAUUCCUAGUGUAGCGGUGAAAUGCGUAGAUAUUAGGAGGAACACCAGUGGCGAAGGCGGCCUGCUGGACAUUAACUGACGCUGAGGCGCGAAAGCGUGGGGAGCAAACAGGAUUAGAUACCCUGGUA